ACGUAGGGGGCAAGCGUUAUCCGGAAUUAUUGGGCGUAAAGAGUGCGUAGGUGGUUUUUUAAGCGUGAGGUGAAAGGCAAUAGCUUAACUAUUGUAAGCCUUGCGAACUGGAAGACUUGAGUGCAGGAGAGGAAAGUGGAAUUCCUAGUGUAGCGGUGAAAUGCGUAGAUAUUAGGAGGAACACCAGUGGCGAAGGCGGCUUCCUGGCACAAAACUGACGCUCAUGUGCGAAAGCUAGGGCAGCGAACGG
rnacentral:rRNA from 1 species